rnacentral:sRNA from 1 species
CAGCUGUGUGAGAUGAAAAAGCUUGCCAGCCAUCUUCUCAGAUGCCCUCACAGUACAAAGAAGGAAGACUUUUUUUUGUCUGUUUUCCACAGGGAGUGCCUGGCAACGUUGGUGCUCCCGGACCCAAAGGAGCAAAAGGAGAUUCCAGAACAAUCACAACCAAAGGUGAGCGGGGACAGCCCGGCGUCCCAGGUGUGCCCGGGAUGAAAGGUGACGAUGGCAGCCCAGGCCGCGAUGGGCUCGAUGGAUUCCCCGGCCUCCCAGGCCCUCCCGUGAGUAGCCACAAACUGCGGCAGCUCCGUCCUCUCUUCUUCAUCCUUCAGGUUCUCCAAACACC